GGGAUCGCCCUUCCUACGGGAGGCAGCAGUAAGGAAUAUUGGACAAUGGAGGCAACUCUGAUCCAGCCAUGCCGCGUGCAGGAAGAAGGCGCUACGCGUUGUAAACUGCUUUUAUAACAGAGAAAAUCAUUGUACGUGUACGAUGUUGAUAGUAUGUUAAGAAUAAGCAUCGGCUAACUUCGUGCCAGCAGCCGCGGUAAUAAGGGCGAUCC
rnacentral:rRNA from 1 species